AGACGGAGACAACUCUGAAGAUACAGCUGAGUUAGAAAAAGAGGAAUGGGGUCAUGAAAGAUUUGGCCUGCCUGGCAACUCCCGGAUUCUUCUGCCCUAAGAAGCCAUACACACCCACUAGAAACAAGUGCCCGGUGCCGCAGAGAAAACCAGCACAUAGGCAGAAAAUUCCUCAGCAAGGCAAAUUUACUUCUGCAGAAGGGUGCAUCUUACACCAGUCAUGAUCACAAGAGAACACCGAGAGGGACGGAGUCUAGCUCUGUCACCAGGCUGGAGUGCAGUGGCACGAUCUCGACUCACUGCAACCUCCACUGAAGAAGGAAUUCAUGAAUUUUACAAGUAUAAUCAAAGACCACCAAGAAAUUCUUACUUUUUCCUUCAAAAGCUAAGUGUAGCGUAGCACCCCCUGCCCAUAGUCUAAGUUAGAGAAGAAUACU